rnacentral:rRNA from 1 species
AAGGGUUUCGUGUGAACAGUGGUUGAUCACGAGUUAGUCGGUCCUAAGCCUAAGGCGAAAGCCAAAGAAAAAUUUAAGGUUUAUCAUAAGGGUUUUUUUUUUGUAUAUAAUAAUAAUAAUAAUAAAUAAUAUUAAUUAAAAUAACAUAUAUAAAGCCACUAGUAAAUAUGGUGGUAUUAUGUUUUUAAUAUUUAUUUAUUAUGUGUAUAUACAAUAAAAAUAAAUAAGGUAGUAAAAAAUGUCCUUAAAUUUAAAAAUUAGGCGAAAGGGAAUACGGUUCCAAUUCCGUAACCUGUUGAGUAUACGUUUGUAAUAAAUCUGGUCAUUUAUGAUCAUCCCGGUAACGGAAACAAUCAUAGAGAAGCCGUCGAGAGGUAUCGGAAGAGUUUUCUUUUCUGUUUUAUAAUUGUACUACCAUGGAAGUCUUUCGAAGAGAGAUAUGGUAGAUGAAUUAGAAGAGCAUGGCAUUUACUGCUGUGUCGAUAUUUUCUCCUCGGACCUUGAAAAUCUAUGAUUGGGCCACGCAAACUUCUCAACAGGCCGUACCAAUAUCCGCAGCUGGUCUCCAAGG